CUGAACCCCUCUCCUUCCCUUGCGAUUUUCGCCGAUCGCCCCACACUCGACGCCGAGCUUCUCCUCCCUUUCCUUCUCAUCUUCCCCUUCCUCUUCCUUAUCUCCUCCUCUCACCACCGCACACAACCAUCUCGAUUCUUCCUUCCCCGAAGCCCUAGCGAUGUCGAUCCCUUUCUAUGUCACUACCGGCAACCACGGCCUGACCUCGGUCGUCGCCGCCCGUCGCCGGCCAACCACCACUUUUCUCCUCCUGAUUCGCACCAUCGCAGUCGAGCCCUCUUCCUAUCGGCUGAUCGUCCGACACCGUCACCUCCUCGCUGGAGCAGACUACUGGACGGCGCCGCGCUGCCGCCUGUCUCCCAUAGUCGCCGACUGUCGGAGCCUUCAGAGUUGACAACCAUCUCCCUUUCUUCAACGUGCAGCAAGGCUUCGCCGGAGAUGCCACCUUGCUUUGGACUUUUGGGAAGGGUUGUCCGGCCUUGUUUGGCCAACAUAUCUUUCGAUGGCUUCAACUCAUCAUUGAGGGUGCCUUGUUAUCGGCUGCCACGUUUGAGUAACCUUACCUAGUUUGGCUACAACUUCCUACAGCCAUUGCUCCAGCCGCAAGUCAACAGAAGAGCAUACAAAUUUAGAUUUGCACACUCAGGUUUCAAUAGCCUUUGGGGCUAACAUGUGAAGCUUGUGGUGCCCCAAAAACUAAAGUACAUCACAUUUUUCCUGGUGAAUCUUGCUGACAAAUUUGGAUUGAUAGAAUUUUUUGGAAAGGGUAGACUUAAUUCGACCAAAUAAAGAAAUAUUUGUUUGUU